GGUCACUGCUAUUGGGAUUCGACUAAGCCAUGCGAGUCGAGAGGGUUCGGCCCUCGGCUGACGGCUCAGUAACACGUGGAUAAUCUGACCUUAGGUGGAGGAUACUCUCGGGAAACUGAGAAUAAUACUCCAUAGGCCUAGGAUGCUGGAAUGCACUUAGGCUCAAAGCUCCGGCGCCUAAGGAUGAGUCUGCGGACUAUCAGGUUGUAGUCAGGGUAAUGACCUGACUAGCCUACGACGGAUACGGGUUGUGAGAGCAAUAACCCGGAGAUGAUAUCUGAGACGCGAUAUCAGGCCCUACGGGGCGCAGCAGGCGCGAAAACUUCACAAUGUGUGAAAGCACGAUGAGGGAAUCCCAAGUGCUUGCACGUAAGUGUAAGCUGUUUUUAUGUUUAAAACGCAUAGAGAGUAAGAGCUGGGUAAGACGGGUGCCAGCCGCCGCGGUAAUACCUGCAGCUCGAGUGGUGGCCGCUAUUAUUGGGCCUAAAACGUCCGUAGCCGGUUUAAUAAAUGCCUGGGUAAAUCGUGUAGCUUAACUAUACGAAUUCCGGGUAGACUGCUAAACUUGAGACCGGGAGAAGCUAGAGGUACUCCUGGGGUAGAGGUGAAAUUCUGUAAUCCUAGGGGGACCACCAGUGGCGAAGGCGUCUGGCUAGAACGGGUCUGACGGUGAGGGACGAAGCCCUGGGGCGCAAACCGGAUUAGAUACCCGGGUAGUCCAGGGUGUAAACGCUGCUUGCUUGAUGUUAGUUGGGCUCCGAGCUCAAUUAGUGUCGGAGAGAAGUUGUUAAGCAAGCUGCCUGGGAAGUACGGCCGCAAGACUGAAACUUAAAGGAAUUGGCGGGGGAGCACAGCAACGGGUGGAGCGUGCGGUUU
rnacentral:rRNA from 1 species